CUCAACUGAAGCCCAAAACUCUGUUUACAUCAGCAGCGUUUUUAAACUGUUCCAGAGACUCGACUGAAGCACAACUAAAGACGGAAACUAAAAAGCUGCUUGUUUGAGUGCCUUGCCAAUGAAUAAGCUUAACAAAACAAGUUAAAUACAAAUAAUUUCGGUACUGAAAGACAGACGCGUGUUUGAAGACAUCUUCCAAAAAGAGAAGGCUUAACAAAAUAAUUAAUUUAAAAAUUAAUUAUCCAGUUGUAAAAUGAAACAUCAUACGCCGAAAAUAGAAGAUGUUCCAGUUAACUGUCGUGGUUCGCCUUACCAAAAAAAUUUAUUUCUUACGUAUAAACUAAAAUUACUUAUAUGGGGAGCAAUAUGCUGUGAUUUACUUUUUAUUUCAGUUUUUCUAGCGUUAUUAAUUUCAAUUUUAUAUCUUUGUUUUCAAUAAACCAAGGGGAAAAAAGUCUAUAGCUGGUGUAUUUUUUAUCGACAGCUUUUUUAUUGAAAAUUUUUUAUAUUUUGACACUCAUGUCUGCUUACUUGUAUUAUACAAUUAUUCUGUUUCUGCACUUUAAAUAGUUGAAAGACUUUGAAAAGUAAGUCCUUUAAAGAAAUUUAAAUGAAUUUCCAAUAACGAUUCAGUCACUUGAUACUCUACAAAUGUAUAUCUUAUCUCUCUUAGGCAAAUAAAUAAUUAAAAACGUAACACGAAAAUUGUGGUAUUUUGUUUUUGUGAGACAUCCAUAAAAUAGACUUAAUCACGUUAUUUUGACUUAACCGGUAUUACCACUAUGGACUUGCUUUUGAGUGUUUGGUAUAAGUAUUAAAUGUGCGUUUGGGGUAAGAAUUAAAUAUAUCAUAAUGCCAGAAUUAAGUUAUAAUAAGGCCAUAAUAAUUAUAAUAAAAAAAGGUGUUAUAAUCAGCAUCUUUGAAGUUACCAUUACAUUAGAGUAAUUCAAGAGACUUAAAAUAAGUGAAAUAAUAAAUUAGAACAUUGAAAGACUUUGGUUAUAACACAAAACUCAACUAAAAGUAUUCAUCAUGUUAACUAAAGUUGAUACAAAUGAUAAAAUCUGCAGUAAAAUUCUGUUUAAAGUUUAUAAAAAGUGAAUUACAAAAAAUGCUGUCAUCUGUGUCAUCCAAGAAUCUUAAACAUUGUAGCUCAAACCAUUCUAUGUAAUAAUGUUUAACUAAAAUUAUUCUUAUGAACAUGUAACUGAAUAGCUACAGCUACAGUUUUAAGUUAUUAUUGUAACGAUUUAUAGCCUAAUUUCUUAAAUACUAAUUUGUUUUAGUUUGUUAAGGCAAAAACAAUAUUGUUAUUUUGGAGUAUUUGUAUGUUAGAUUCAGCUAUCACAUUUUUCUGAAAUAAGUAACAGACAAUUGCAUUUCAAGUUUAAUUUAAAUGUAAUAAUAUUAUUAUCGAACAUCGAUAUAUUAAUAAUUCACCGGAAAAUAAUCAUGGCUUCAAUGUUUUAAAACAUAUACGCAAAAAUCUAAAAAUAGCUUAGUAAUACAUAUUAAUAGUAAAGCCAGUGAUCAAUUGAACUCCA